UCUGUCUCUACUCCAAAUCAACUCACGCAUGGCCCAAAACGUCAAAGGAGGCUAUUGGCUCCCGGACAGCGGCAUCACAGCCUCCAACAUCGAUUCGACCCUCUUCACUCAUCUCUUCUGCGCGUUCGCUGACCUCGAUGCAUCGACAAACCAGGUAGUCAUAUCGUUGACGAACGCCCAGUCUUUCGCGGCCUUCACUAGUGACGUCCGGCAGAAGAACCCAUCGGUCAUAACCCUCCUGUCCAUCGGCGGUGGCAGCUCGAGUGCGACUGACUUUGCGGCCAUGGCGAGCCAGUCUAGCUCCCGAAAGAGUUUCAUCGAUUCCUCCAUAGCCCUAGCUCGGUCCAACGGCUUUCAUGGCCUUGAUCUUGAUUGGGAAUACCCGGACACUGAUGAGAAGAUGAACAACUUGGGGUUGCUCCUCCAGGAGUGGCGGACCAUGGUGGCUGCUGAGGCGGCCAGGUCAGGUGACAAUGCUCUGCUUUUGUCGGCGGCAGUCUAUUACUUGCCGCACCACUGGUCAGGUGUGGAUUAUCCGUGGCCGCCAUGGCGGCGAGCUUGGAUUGAUCAAUGCAAUGGCCUAUGAUUUCUUUGGACCAGGUUGGUCCUCCACCACAGGACCACAUGCUGCUCUCUAUGCUCCAGGGAACGGCAGAAGUGGAGACAUCGGGGUGAGAGCAUGGAUUCAGGCCGGCAUGCCGGCGGGGCAGAUCGUGCUCGGCUUCCCUUCUAUGGGCGCGCAUUCACCUCGCAAAUGCCAACAACCACGGCUACUCUGCGCCCGUCACUGGGGCAGCAAUAUCCUCCGAUGGGUCGAUCGUGUACAAUCAAAUCACGACGUACAUAUCCGAAAACAGCGCAACCAAUGUGUACAACUCCCCGGUCGUGUCCGCCUACUGCUAUUCCGGGACGACAUGGAUCAGCUACGAUGAUACACAAACCAUCUCUACCAAAGUCUUGUACGCCAAGGAUAAUGGACUCAAAGGUUACUUUGCAUGGCAUGUUGCUAGUGAUGACAACUGGGUUCUCUCUCAAACAGCUUCAAAUGCGUGGUGACUUAGACGACGUCAGAGGAGACAUUAUCUACAGAUACUUAUUGAAGUUCAGACCAAAAAUGUAAUGGAAUUAUAGUCUCCAUCUCACAAUGUCAUGUAUUCCUUAGAGGCCAAUAAAGCAAAGAUGCUUUUCUUUUUCC